UGCAAGUUCUAGAAGGAAUUUUAUUAUGAUUUUUUUUACAAGGUUUUUAAAUGCUAAAUGCUUUUGCCUUUUGAUCAGACAUGACAUAUACAUAAUUGCAAGCGAGCUGACAAUGUAAGUUUUCCAUAUGAAUAGCAACGAUAAUUACAGAAGUUAAUUGUUGCAAUAGCAACAAUUGUUAUUAAAGGCAGCAGAUUAUCAGUACAUUGAUAAAUGAAUGGUUCCAGCAGCAAUGAGCAUAUGCAUAUGGAAAACUUACAUACAAA
rnacentral:misc_RNA from 1 species